GUGCUUGCUUUGGCAGCACAGAUACUAAAAUUGGAAUGAUACAGAAAACAUUAGCAUGGUCCCUGCUGAAGGAUAGCAUGCAAAUUUGUGAAGCAUUCCAUAUUUUA
rnacentral:snRNA from 1 species